rnacentral:sRNA from 1 species
GCUGGGCAUGGUGGUGCACACCUGUAAUCCCAGAGGCUUGGGAGGCUGAGACAGGAGGAUCACGAGUUCAAAGCCAGCCUCAGCAAUGGUGAGGUGCUAAGCAACUCAGUGAGACCCUGUCACUA